rnacentral:rRNA from 1 species
AUACGGAGGGUGCAAGCGUUAUCCGGAAUCAUUGGGUUUAAAGGGUCCGCAGGCGGAUUAAUAAGUCAGUGGUGAAAUCCUCUCGCUCAACGAGAGAACUGCCAUUGAAACUGUUAGUCUUGAAUUCGGUCGAAGUAGGCGGAAUGUGUCAUGUAGCGGUGAAAUGCAUAGAUAUGACACAGAACACCGAUAGCGAAGGCAGCUUACUAGACCUGGAUUGACGCUCAUGGACGAAAGCGUGGGGAGCGAACAGGAUUAGAUACCCCGGUAGUCC